UACGGAGGCAGCAGUGGGGAAUAUUGCACAAUGGGCGCAAGCCUGAUGCAGCCAUGCCGCGUGUAUGAAGAAGGCCUUCGGGUUGUAAAGUACUUUCAGCAGUGAGGAAGGCGGAGUCGUUAAUAGCGGCCUCGUUUGACGUUAGCUGCAGAAGAAGCACCGGCUAACUCCGUGCCAGCAGCCGCGGUAAUACGGAGGGUGCGAGCGUUAAUCGGAAUUACUGGGCGUAAAGCGCAUGCAGGUGGUUUGUUAAGUCAGAUGUGAAAGCCCCGGGCUCAACCUCGGAAUUGCAUUUGAAACUGGCAGACUAGAGUACUGUAGAGGGGGUAGAAUUUCAGGUGUAGCGGUGAAAAUGCGUAGAGAUCUGAAGGAAUACCGGUGGCGAAGGCGGCCCCCUGGACAGAUACUGACACUCAGAUGCGAAAGCGUGGGGAGCAAACAGGAUUAGAUACCCUGGUAG
rnacentral:rRNA from 1 species